rnacentral:misc_RNA from 1 species
GAUGAAGAACGCAGCGAAAUGCGAUAAGUAGUGUGAAUUGCAGAAUUCAGUGAAUCAUCGAAUCUUUGAACGCACAUUGCGCCCUUUGGUAUUCCUUAGGGCAUGCCUGUUCGAGCGUCAUUUAAACCUUCAAGCUAAGCUUGGUGUUGGGUGACUGUCCGCCUCACGGCGGACUCGCCUCAAAAUUAUUGGCGGCCGGUACAUUGGCUUCGAGCGCAGCAGAAACGCGAACUCGGGCCCGUCGUAUUGGCUCCCAGAAGCUAUCUUCACAAUUUUGACCUCGGAUCAGGCAGGGAUACCCGCUGAACUUAAGCAUAUCAAUAAGCGGAGGA